UAAUCCCUGCCUCACACACAGGGUGACCCGGUGGCCCACCAGCCUGCUGUCAGUCACGCUAUGUGGAGGUUGGUAGUGUGUAAUUAAACUAGCCGCCUUAUCAGCUCAUCUGUAGACUCUGGUAAUAACCUUCUCUGCUUCCAUCCCCUCUUCCUCUGUGAGCUCACCGCAGAUCUGGAUAAAAGCCUGGUUGAAAUCGACAGAUAGGCGCAGAAAGAGAGGAAGACAAGAAACGCCCCAAAACCACCUGAGAACCAUUAGGAGUCAACUCAGUAGGGUGGGUAAGACUGAAAUGUUUUUCUUUUUAAAUCUGUCCAGCUCUUAUCACAAAGAUCGGCAAACACUUUGUUGCGGUUUAUUAGCACCACAUGACCUCUCUGCACCUGACCUGCACCGCUUUUAUCACACUGCUGCAGAUCCUGUUGAAUAUUUACCACCCUGGUUGUAUUGUACCCACGGAAGACAGACAGCAACAAAGAAAACGCGGAUGAAAGGUCGGACAGAUAAACUCCAGACACAAGUUAAAAUCUUUUGAGAGCUAAUCGGCCGUGUCCUUGACAACAUCACAGUGUGUUAUGUAUCACAGAACAAAAGUGGGCUUUAAAUAUAUGAACAUAAAUACAGGUGACAAGAGCUUCCACCUGCAAAAGCUCAUUCAGUUCAAACAUAAUGUGCACAGUUUAGUGUGACAAUACAAUUACAGACUCAUUCACGCUCAAACUAUUCUGAUGAUUUUUGGAUGUGAUGGAGUAGUAGGUCUCACUUGGUGGAUGAAAUGCUGAAGACGAUAAGCUAGACUACCAAAAACAGCAUCUUUCAAGUCAAGCAUGUUCACCACUUUACAAAGAGCAUGACUUUAUAAUGGUCCACCUACCAGUUUCAUUGAGAAGUUGUUGCUCUCCCAGCUGCACAGCAUCAAACUCAUGUUGCUUCCUGCAUGAGAUUCACAUGGAGGGAAUCGGCUUCCAUCCCAGCUGAACCCCAAACCUUGCCAUUACUAGUGUAACUUACUGAGAGUGGCUACAAAGAUAGGACCCCGAGCACUGCAGGUACACAGACAGCUGGGAUCCAAUGAAGCUCCACAAGCUAAAGCUAGUGAGUCCUGGCAGAGUGCACCUUCCAAAUGAUUGGGCUGCUGGUCUCCCAAGCCCUGACAGGUCUCUGGAUGCCUGAGGGGGAAGACCUCAGUGCCUCCAGCUUCUCUCCUCCCACUAUUGAAUCCAGAGGAGGGAAAAAUAAACGCAAAAGCUCAAAGCAAGAGAAGCUCUGUGGUCUCUGCUUCCCCUCAGCUCGAAAGCCAAACCAAAUGCGAGCAGAGAUGAGAAGAAGGAGGAGAAGGAGGAGUGGAUCCCCUACUGCCCUUCAUUACCCCCCCCCACACACGGACGCCCACGGCAACACAUUGUGCUAUUGCUUUUCAAUGGACCAUUGGCCAGAAGGGCAGGGAAAGUAUAGAGGAAAGGACAGAGCUCUUAACCUUCAUCAGCCCCUCCUCCGGGAGAUCUUAAAUAACAAAAAACAGUGGUGAAACAUGACAAAAAGAGGAGAUCAGUGCUUCCUUGAUAACAGGAGGGAGUAAAAAAAGGAAGCCGCACAGAACCAACACUCAUUUUCCAUUUAUUAUUCCUCUAACCAGACCUGCAUGUUUAAAAAAAGCCCUUUUAUUUUCUCCAACCCUUCUGCUCUCUGAUCAGCCGUCACCCACAACACACCAGUCAGCAGCUGCAUGUGUAUUUCUGUUCUGCAGAACACACAUUUAUGUAUCUGCGUGUGCAACUAGGAUGCCCUCCGAUUGUGCCUGUCCUAUCCGCCGCGCGCAAACACACACACACGCCACCACCGACCACAAAUUACAAGCUGUAUUUACAUUUUGGGAAUGACCCAAGAUUCUGAGAAAGUUCCCACACGAGGGGGCCGCUUGAUCACUUCCAGCAGGGGAAACAGCAUAAAAAGCAUCAUGAAACAACACUGAUCCCGAAACGGUGAAAAUGUUGAUGCGUGACUAAUGAAGAGUAAAAGAGUGCGAAGACCAGUGUGAAUUCACUGCUUCACAACCAGGCAAUGUCGUUCAGCAACCUUCUUUUCACCCACCAAUUCAAGCCUUUUACAGCAAACAAACACAGGUAUAAAAACUAACCAGCAUUUUUUUCAUCUCUGAUGCAUGUGGCGCCAUGUGGAGACCAUGAUUGAAAUUUUUUUUUUUUUUUAGCAAAGCAUUUGGAAUGAUGGAGCUCUAGCAGAGGUAAUAAAAAGUAAAAUCAUUCUGGCUCUUACACAGGAACAACAGCUCACAUCAUUGCCUGAACCACCGUAGCAAGCUUCUACCUCCAUGAGAAGAAGCUUCAAAGCGGCUCCUGGUUCCAGACUGAGAUGGAACUGAUUGUGUUAGUCUGAACGGUGGUGCUGCUGGAUUCCCCAGCGGACGCCACUCACAAUGACCCGUUUGUCUGCCCCGACGAUUUUGACUGUGACAGCUAACACGUGCCAUGACUUCACACAGGAAGGAGAGAGGGGCACCAGUGAACAGGAAGUGGAAUUUGAUCGAGGCGCAUUAGGCAAAGAUGAGGUCAUUAUGGCAGGAGCCAACUGCUACAUGAUCGUGAUGCGCCAUCAACCCACACUGUCAUUGAUUCAUUAAAACCUCCAACGGUUGACUUCAUUGACAAAACUGUUCUUAGUACCGACCAGUGAAAUGCUUCACAGCAGCUGCUUAUUGAGAAAGGAAUGCAGCGAAAUGUGGCAAAGGACCUGCAUUCAAGAUAGAAAUAAAAGCCACAGAAUUCUGUGAUUUUUUUUUCUUUUUAUAUGAAUAUACUGGGAUGAUGUGAGGUGAAGAUGCAGUUUAGAUGGUGAAAAUUCUAAGUUAGCACUACAAUGAUGACAUGAUCUCAGACAGUCGGCAAUGUACAGUAUGUUGAACAACCUUAAUAUUAAACAAGCCUUUCAUAGCUGUUCUUAUCUGAGCAUUUAGAAAGGCUACAAUUCCAAUAACAUCCCUGUUUCUCCGUGUGAAUCAGCAACAGUGUUGAUCACCUACACUGGUGCACAACUGGUCUCUGCGAGGUCCUCCUUACCAAUAUUUGUACAGUGAGUCUGCAGAGGCCACAUUGUCGCUACAGAAACAAUCACCAUUAUUACAGUGGGACUGGAAAAUUCAGUGAUAUACUAGGAAUCCCUGACAUUUAUUGCAAUAACAUCUUCUUACAAUGGCUCCAAAGUCAUUCAAAGGCACCUCCUCUGAGCUUGUGCCGUCUCUCGGCGCUCACUUCAUCUCCUCACAAUAGACUCUUCAGCAAUCACACACUAAAACAGCCAUUAAAUCUAAUUUUAACUUCACAACGACAUAUGUGAACGUGUGGCUCUUUGUCAAGGUAUCAAUACGAAGCAGCACAAUAUAUUGCCCUCCAUAAAUCAGCCUGCUGCAGCAACAUUAGCACUCUAAUGCAGCAGCAGGGCGGUUCACUUCACUUUUUUCCUGCUGGUUGGAAGUAAAGGCCAUAAAAGUCAUUGUCUUAUUGUCUGUGGAAAAGCAAGUCUUCAAAAGGUCAGGUUAUACAUUCAUGAUUUUUAGAGAGAUACUUUUCUCUGAUUCACACCUGGACAAAGUGCAGCCCAGGGGCCAUAUGCGGUCCGAUGCCUGUAUUUUCAUGGCGCGUUUGACGUCAGACUAAAAACUAUAACUAAUAUGUCCUCAUUUUUCUGUCAUUUCAUUUUCUGUGUUUUUGUUGCUCCACAAAAUACGUGAAAAAAUAUUUUGAAUCUAUAUUCAAAUUAAGUAUAUAUAUAGUAUAAAUAGAAGAGUAUAUAAAUAUUUCAAUCUGUUUAAUGGUAUAUUUACACUUCUUAAUAUCCUUAUUGUUACAUAUUACAUUUCAUCUUCUUCGGUUCAUUUUGUACUUAAUUUUGAUAGCUAUUUUUCCAUCAUGCUUUGUAUUCAUUGCUGUCUUUCUUUUGGCAUGAUGGUCCCUCACAGACAUUACAGUUUCUGAUGUGGCCCUAAUGUGGAAAUUUAAUUUCCCAUCUCUGAUCUGAUUUAAUGUUUAACAUGACAUUUUUGAAUAAAGCAUUUGGACAAAAUUGUCUUCUUUUUUCAGCAUUACUUUAACAUAUUGUACCUUACUGAAAAUAAAGAAAAAACAUGAUAAAACCAUGAUAAAAUUAAAGCAGAUGGUCCAUCUUAGCAGUGUGACCAGAUGUGUUCCACCAGGUGAAUUAAACUAAAAUUAAUUUGCAUCUUUAAGAUGAGGGGGAAAAAACUGAAUGCAUAAGCAUUUCAAUUAAUGGAGGAGAACGGAAUGCGUCAGAGCAGGUUGCUCCUGAGGAAAGAAAGCACAAUUGUGUUUUAACAUGAGGACACUGGAAGAUCUCCUUUAUUCACAAGGAGACCACCUUCACUAAUCAUGGCCAGGGGGCUGAUGAAAAUUGUCAUCCAUCGUGUCUGGAUUCAUGGAUUUACAGUGAUUGUAUGUAAGCAGCCAGCACAAGGCUAAUCAUUGUAAGAAUGAUAUAAUUUACUUUACACACACAAUGAUGGUUAUAU